CAGAAUGAAUCAGAACUCCUUUCAGGAAGUUGGUGCUUAACGGAAGAGUUCUCUCCCCGGGGUGCUUGAAAUUGAUGAUACUAUGCUACUACUAAUAAAAAUAGAUGAGGAUGCUAAAGCCUAGAGGAGAGAAGUGAUUUGCCCAAGAUCACACAGAGAGUUCCUAUCAGAGCUGGGGCUGGAAACCAAGUAUUCGGAUUCCUCAAAUUCCAUGCCUGUCCUUCACACUCUUUGUAGCCCCAGCUACACAGAUAUUCUCAAGUAGAAAAGUUAACUAUUGGGUACUGAGCUUAAUACCUGGGUGACGAAAUAAUCUCUACAACAAACUCCCAUGACACAAGUUUACCCAUGUAACAAAC
rnacentral:lncRNA from 1 species